CUCAAGCAUUUAUAUAGAAUUUACAGAAAGGGGCCUUAUCCUUGGUUGCUGUUCACCGCCCCAACUCUCUCAGCGUGUCUUCAUAGGAGAGGUGUUCCAGCCCUCUGAUCAUCCUUGUGUCCCUCCUCUGGACCCAUUCUAAUAGUACAGUGUCUUCAGUGCAGCAAUAUCCGUGAAGUGACAGGACUACUGAAACACAAGUAUAAAGGAUAGAAACAGGAGGUUGUAAUCUUCUUACCAGUCUUCAUUUCAUGGGCAUUCUAUUUUCAAGGAAAUCACUUUGUGAAGGACCUUUAAAGGGGUACAUGCCACAUCCCCUGCAUUUGUAACUUUUUUUGACAAUAUGUCCUCCCCUGCCCUUAGAGUUUCAAAUGGGGUAUUAUCACCACUAGUAAAACUGACAACAGAUCUUCACUCAGAAUACGGUAAUCUCUUCCUAUAUCAUCAC